rnacentral:misc_RNA from 1 species
CGGCGGGCGAUCCGCUUCGGUCGCGCUGGGUGGUAUGGUUCCCCAGAGGCCGGUUCUUGUGCUGCCUACCCCUUCAGGGGAAGCGGGCCGCUCGAUGCAAGCCUCCAUCCCGCGCCCUCCAACGGGCGCAGGAGGACAACGGAGCACCCCCCGCGUUCCACCGAGCCUCGUCGGUCGCGUGGCGCGCGGGGACGUGCGAUGCUCUCGGACCCAGCGAACGCCGUGGGCGAGGACUCACGUCCCAGUCCCGAUAGAAGCUCCCACAUAGUGCAUGACGGCCGCUCCCGUCCCCCGACCGCCCCGGCGGCGCGGGUGCGAGGCGCGGCGUCGCGGAGGAAUGCUACCUGGUUGAUCCUGCC